CAAGUCGAACGAUUGUGAAGGGCUUGCUCUUCACGAAAGUGGCGCACGGGUGCGUAACGCGUAUGCAACCUACCUUAAUCAGGGGGAUAGCCCGAAGAAAUUCGGAUUAACACCGCAUAAAAUCACAGUACAGCAUUGUACAAUGAUCAAAUAUUUAUAGGAUUAAGAUGGGCAUGCGUGUCAUUAGUUAGUUGGCGAGGUAACGGCUCACCAAGACCACGAUGACUAGGGGAUCUGAGAGGAUGACCCCCCACACUGGUACUGAGACACGGACCAGACUCCUACGGGAGGCAGCAGUAAGGAAUAUUGGUCAAUGGAGGCAACUCUGAACCAGCCAUGCCGCGUGCAGGAAGACAGCCCUCUGGGUCGUAAACUGCUUUUAUUCGGGAAUAAACCUACUUACGUGUAAGUAGCUGAAUGUACCGAAGGAAUAAGGAUCGGCUAACUCCGUGCCAGCAGCCGCGGUAAUACGGAGGAUCCAAGCGUUAUCCGGAUUUAUUGGGUUUAAAGGGUGCGUAGGCGGCUUAUUAAGUCAGGGGUGAAAGACGGUGGCUCAACCAUCGCAGUGCCCUUGAUACUGAUGAGCUUGAAUACACUAGAGGUAGGCGGAAUGUGACAAGUAGCGGUGAAAUGCAUAGAUAUGUCACAGAACACCGAUUGCGAAGGCAGCUUACUAUGGUGUCAUUGACGCUGAGGCACGAAAGCGUGGGGAUCAAACAGGAUUAGAUACCCUGGUAGUCCACGCCCUAAACGAUGAAUACUCGCUGUUAGCGAUACACAGUUAGCGGCUAAGCGAAAGCGUUAAGUAUUCCACCUGGGGAGUACGCCCGCAAGGGUGAAACUCAA
rnacentral:rRNA from 1 species